GGGCCUAUAGCUCAGUUGGUUUAGAGCGCACGCCUGAUAAGCGUGAGGUCGGAGGUUCAAGUCCCCCUAGGCCCA
rnacentral:tRNA from 1 species